GUGUGUUUUUUUUUUAUAACGAACUUUUCGACAUGAUUUGUCAUAGUUCUUUCACCUCUGUCUUAUCUCUGUACCAGAUCAUCAGGCGGCCUGAUUUUCAUCAGUCACAAUAGAUCUGUCCUAUAUUGGGACAGCGGAUACAGGGUCUAGUCGUGUACCCGCAUUCAGUGCAGUAGUGCUCUGCCACACCAGGGAACAAGUACAAGAUUAUCUCUACCGCGAUGAUUAAAGGCUUAAACUGUGAAGAUAUGUAGGACCUUAUGGAGACUUUCCAAGCAAUUUUAUUUUAGUGAAUGAAAGUGAACAUCUAGCUGACAGCAAAUGACGGUGGUUUCAUUUCUUGUGCUUUUGGCGUAACUCGGAAUACAUCCCUGUGUUCUCUCAGACAAGAGAUGUUCGCUUGCAAUGGGGAACACAGUUUUUCAGGAAUGCACGUACAACUGCAGAAACGAAAUUGAUCAAAGUUUUCGCCUAGAAUGAGACGUGAAAAAGAGCUGUGAAUUGUGCUACUGUCAGCAGAAAUCUUGGCUCUCUUGCUACAGAAGUAAGAGCUUUGCUAGAAAAUGUUUACAGAUGGAGAGCUUUCAAGCAAAAUGUGUAUCCUGACCUACAAAGUUUAGUUUGAGUAAAAUCCUUAGGUCUCUCUCUGGGCUGUGCUCGCCGACCCCCCCCCCCCCCCUUUUUUUUUUUAAUCAAAUGCUCACAAAUAGAGGGAGAGAGUAAAGUUGUCAAAAUCGAAAUUGUCAAGACUUUAGAUUAUAAAGGUAGGUUCUGUAAGUCAGCAGUGAAUGAUUUCACUCUAUAGCAUAUCCUUAUCUUGCAAAUAUAAAGUAUAAUAAUGAAAUAUCGUAUUGGAAAUUUGUGAAAAUGUCACUUUCAUAUUACAAAUCUGUAUAUACAAAAUUUCUCAAAAAUUUUUUAAACUUUAGCAAUAGCGGUAGUGGAGCCAUAUUUGUAAUUGGAUCGUCUGGUUGACAGUAUCAUUGCUUAGUUAUCUACUUCCAGCGAGUCAAACUUAAGAGAAUAUUGUUGCCAUAGUUAUCAUUAGUUGAAGUAUACAGGUAUUUUUUCAAAUAAAACUUCUAUUUCAGCAUUAUAAUUAAUUUAACGUCGUUAAUUGGCUUCUAGAACCGAUUGCGUGGGUGCGUGACCAUGGAAUUCAGCGAAGGUAAACCUAGCCAAGUCUACCAUUCUUUGUAAAGAAAAUGGAUUAGCAGAUUAAAAGAAAACGUACCCUCAGUGAUGAACAUUUAUAGGGAUGACUAAUGCAAACCUAAUACCCGUUACGCCACCAGUAUUUGUUGUAUUAAUCACCAGAAUUUUCACCUAAGAUACUCAGAUUUACUAUUUUUGGUAGGCAAACGACCCUCUCUUUUAUAUGGAUAUUGUUAAUGUACAAACUUGCAACGGUCAAAUUGAUUUGUCUAUACAGGGCAAGAACUGCAUAUAGCGUACGCAACAUGCAUGAUUAUUACCAAAGGUCUGAGUCGUUUUAUUAAAAAAAAUUUUUGGCAAUGUAAAGGGGAAGUGAUUCAGGUAGGCUACGAUGUAGGUGGGCAGGUGUCUCGAAAGGAGCCAUGUCAUAAAUAUGCCACUCGUUUACUGAAUGAAUUAUAUAUAUACAGGUACAGGGAUGACUAAUACCCUUGGGAAGUACUAGUACAGACAGAUAUGCACACAGGUAGAUAAAGAGAAGGAGCGCGUAUGCAAGCACUGAAGGCUACAUGUUAUAAGAAAAGGUGAUUCAAGUAAUGUAAUAUAGAAAUAUGUCCCCCUACAAGGUAUAAUAUAGGAUGCGUCAUGUGCGAACCAAUACUUUCUCUAUCCCAAUCAAUGACCUUGGCCAUGGCAUUCCCCAGCGCCACUUUCGAUAGAGUACAGGUAAUUUGGAAGAAUGCCAGAGAAUCCGAGAGGAAGAAAUGGUGAUAGAGGGAGUGAGAUUAUAUCUCUCUGUGUAUAAAACCAGGAAGCUGAAUGCUGCACCGUCUGGAAAAUUGAAAAAAAGGGCGACAGAUCGUAAAAGGGGGCCUUAAAAAAAAAAAAUAAAUAAAAAUAAAAAUUUGGUAAAGAAUCUUCUUACAUUAAUUGCAGUUUUCCUUGGAAAUACUGCAUGCACAUAUUGCACCUUGAUGACAAAAAUCUUAUGGAUCACAGAAUUGCUUUUUUCCUUCCUAAUUAAUGAUGAGGCAUCCUUUCCAAUAUAUUUUGUCUCAUUGUCAGUUCGAAGAGUUCAUGUCCAGUUCAUUUAAAAAGGCUAGGUACAGUUUUUCUUCAGUUUUUCAUAAAGCUGACAUGAUUUUCCAAAAUCUAGAUGCAAAAUAUAUGUAGUAUUUCACAGGAGAGCGGCAGUUACCAUGAGGAGAUGUCUAUCCCAGAAAUAAAUAGAUUUUUCAAUAAAAAAAAGAGGAGAGAGAGCACCCUUUACACGCAUCUGUCACCAUCCUUCAGUUUUCCAGACGUUGCUGUAUUUAACUUUUAAUAGUGUCAUCUCAGUCUCUCCGCCACAAUUUCUUCCCAGCAAGAUUAUGACAUCAUAAAUAGGUCAAAAUAGGUGUUUGGCACUUCCUCGUAAAGUAAUAUGGCGAGCAUUUACCGCCACUAUUCGCAGCCAUCCAAUUAAUGGCAGAUUUAAGGGGGAAAGAUUUGCCAGGCGGGAGAAAAUAUGUUUCUCUCUCUCUCUCUCUCUCUCUCUCUCUCUCUCUCUCUCUCUCUCUCUCUCUCUCUCUCUCUCUCUCUUUGAUUUUAUUCGGUUAUAAUACGGAAACAUUGCAAGAACAACAACAAUCAAUUAACCCCGUUGGGGGCUGGGGGUGGGGGAAGGUAGUGCCGUCAGUACUCCUCACGCGAUGCAACUCCUUUCAUUCCUUUUUACUGUACCUUUUUUCACGUUCUCCUCCUUCCAUCAUACUUUCCACCCUCUCUUAACAAUUGAUACAUAGUGCAACUGCUUUGAUGUUUUCCUCCUGUUACACCUUUCAGAUGUUUUACAGUCAAUCUCCAUUUCAGCGCUGAUUGACCUCACAGGUCCCAGUGCUCUGAAUGACCUCAUAGGUCCCAAUCUCUGAAAGACCUCAUAGGUCCCAGUGCUCUGAAUUACCUCAUAGGUCCCAGUGCUCUGAAUGACCUCAUAGUAGGUCCCAGUGCUUGGCCUUUGGCCUAAGUUGUAUAUUCAAUCGAUCAGUUAAAACCAACGAAGGCUUUUCUUAUGCAUCUUGCAACGUAGCAAGGGAGAAGAGGAAUAAGAGCGAAAACAUAAACGCAAUAAGAAACUGAGGGGUAGACUGAGAGCGGCAAAUGUUAGGUUAUAAUUAAUGGCCUUUUUUCCGGUAGUGAAAAAAUUUCGCUCGUUUACGUCAUAUCCUCACGAUAGUGAAGAAGAAUUUAAUGAGAGGUAAGCUCGUGGAUUCCACACGCCAAGUGGCGUUGAAAGAGGCAGAUGUCUCUGCUGUGGAAAGUCUCAUAUCCCAAGGGACUUUUCUCAAUUAAUUGGACCGUGAAUACGAAGGCUCACCUUUCCGUUUGAUUUAGGGAAUAAAGGUGUCCCUUUCGCUUCGAAGCGUUUAAAUUGCUCAGUCGGUUACGAAUUGGUGUGCAGAAUUUUUGUUGUUUGAGAUUAAGCUGGCCUAAUGCCAGCACGGGCUCUUGCUCACAGAGCAGCCCGUAGAUGGAAUUUUUGUUUACUUUUGUCAGAGAGCUUUGUUUUUGUUGUUGUGAUAUGAAUAAAUUAGGCUUAAACACUCUCCUACAUUGUCCAUCUCUAAUCGACUAAUGAUAUUUUAUAUUAAGAAGUCUUGUCUUGAUAUAGAAACUUUUGUACGCAUUGUUAAGAUGGGCCAUCUUAUAAACUUAAAUUACUUAUAUUGUAUCCUCCAUGCAACGCUAUUUCAAGAGGGAACAAUCUUGAGUCUACCAUUAUAAUGAUCUUAAUUGUCUUCUUAGUCUUGUCAUGAAAAUUAUUUGCACAGAAGACUAUAAAAUGAAAACAAAGCAUUUCGUAUAUUUUAGAUAUAGAGUUAACGUUAUUAUUUAUUUUUUUCGAUCUUGUGAUCUUGGUUGAGGUCAGUGCUCUUCAUUUAACUUUUUGUUAAAACGUGGACAGAAUUUUUCCUCCAUAUUGCCCGAAUAGAAGCUGAUGAUGACUCCGGUAAUGAAGCGUAUCAUGUUUUAGAUCUCUCAUCGGCUUCACCCAUCAGAGUAUGUAGUUCUAGUAGUCUCUUAAUCCUUUUUAUGAGCUUUUUUUAUAUAAAGAAGUGCAGACCCAUUUAUAAUACUUCUUCUAACACUCCUUGAGCUACAAUUGCAAUCUGUAAGAAGUUUUGAUGUUUUCCCGUAA